rnacentral:rRNA from 1 species
AGAGUUUGAUCCUGGCUCAGGAUGAACGCUGGCGGCGUGCCUAACACAUGCAAGUCGAACGGACGUAGCAAAGUGGCGCACGGGUGAGUAACACGUAGCUGACCUGCCCUUCAGUGCGGGAUAACGGUUCGAAAGGACUGCUAAUACCGCAUAAGCUCACGGGUUCUAAAGACCUGUGAGAAAAGUUCCGGCGCUGAAGGAGGGGGCUGCGGUCCAUCAGGUAGAUGGUGAGGUAACGGCUUACCAUGCCACGACGGAUAGGGGGCCUGAGAGGGUGACCCCCCACACUGGAACUGAGACACGGUCCAGACUCCUACGGGAGGCAGCAGUGAGGAAUAUUGCUCAAUGGGCGCAAGCCUGAAGCAGCGACGCCGCGUGGACGAUGAAGGCUUUCGGGUCGUAAAGUCCUUUUUUGGGUGACGAGCAGGACGGUAGCCCAAGAAUAGGUGUCGGCUAACUACGUGCCAGCAGCCGCGGUAAAAC